UACAGAGGGUGCGAGCGAUAAUCGGAAUUACUGGGCGUAAAGCGCACGUAGGUGGCGACGUAAGUCGGGUGUGAAAGCCCCGGGCUCAACCUGGGAAUUGCAUUCGAGACUGCAUUGCUGGAGUACGGAAGAGGAGGGCGGAAUUCCCGGUGUAGCGGUGAAAUGCGUAGAUAUCGGGAGGAACAUCAGUGGCGAAGGAGGCCCUCUGGUACAGUACUGACACUCAAGUGCGAAAGCGUGGGGAGCAAACAGG
rnacentral:rRNA from 1 species